rnacentral:rRNA from 1 species
GCAGCGAACGGGUGAGUAACACGUAGAUAAUCUGUCCUAUAUUGGGGGAUAGCCCGAUGAAAGUUGGAUUAAUACCGCAUACAGCUAUAUAGUUGCAUGAUUAUAUAGUGAAAGAUUUAUUGAUAUAGGAGGAGUCUGCGGCACAUUAGCUAGUAGGUGAGGUAAGAGCUUACCUAGGCGACGAUGUGUAGCCGGUCUGAGAGGAUGAACGGCCACAAUGGAACUGAGACACGGUCCAUACUCCUACGGGAGGCAGCAGUGGGGAAUAUUGCACAAUGGGGGAAACCCUGAUGCAGCAACGCCGCGUGAGUGAAGAAGGUUUUCGGAUUGUAAAGCUCUGUUAGCAGGGAAGAGGAAGGACGGUACCUGCAGAGGAAGCCACGGCUAACUACGUGCCAGCAGCCGCGGUAAUACGUAGGUGGCAAGCGUUGUUCGGAAUAACUGGGCGUAAAGGAUGCGUAGGCGGUUAAAUAAGUUAUAUGUUAAAUAUAUAGGCUUAACCUGUAGAAAGCAUAUAAAACUGUUUAACUAGAGUGCAGGAGAGGUAAGUGGAAUUCCUAGUGUAGCGGUGAAAUGCGUAGAGAUUAGGAAGAACACCAGUGGCGAAGGCGACUUACUGGACUGUAACUGACGCUGAGGCA